UACGUAGGGCGCAAGCGUUGUCCGGAAUUAUUGGGCGUAAAGAGCUCGUAGGCGGUUUGUCGCGUCUGCUGUGAAAACUGGAGGCUCAACCUCCAGCCUGCAGUGGGUACGGGCAAACUAGAGUGCGGUAGGGGAGAUUGGAAUUCCUGGUGUAGCGGUGGAAUGCGCAGAUAUCAGGAGGAACACCAAUAGCGAAGGCAGCUCGCUGGGACGGUAUUGACGCUAAGGCGCGAAAGCGUGGGGGAGCAAACAGG
rnacentral:rRNA from 1 species